rnacentral:rRNA from 1 species
UACGUAGGGUGCGAGCGUUGUCCGGAAUUACUGGGCGUAAAGAGCUCGUAGGUGGUUUGUCGCGUUGUUCGUGAAAACUCACAACUCAAUUGUGGGCGUGCGGGCGAUACGGGCAGACUGGAGUACUGCAGGGGAGACUGGAAUUCCUGGUGUAGCGGUGGAAUGCGCAGAUAUCAGGAGGAACACCGGUGGCGAAGGCGGGUCUCUGGGCCUUGCCUGACGCUGAGGCGCGAAAGCUAGGGGAGCGAACAGG